GGGAACGUGCCCUUCUCUAAGGAAUAGCCACUGGAAACGGUGAGUAAUACCUUAUACGCCCUUCGGGGGAAAGAUUUAUCGGAGAAGGAUCGGCCCGCGUUAGAUUAGAUAGUUGGUGGGGUAACGGCCUACCAAGUCUACGAUCUAUAGCUGGUUUUAGAGGAUGAUCAGCAACACUGGGACUGAGACACGGCCCAGACUCCUACGGGAGGCAGCAGUGGGGAAUCUUGGACAAUGGGCGCAAGCCUGAUCCAGCCAUGCCGCGUGAGCGAUGAAGGCCCUAGGGUCGUAAAGCUCUUUCGCCUGUGAAGAUAAUGACGGUAGCAGGUAAAGAAACCCCGGCUAACUCCGUGCCAGCAGCCGCGGUAAUACGGAGGGGGUUAGCGUUGUUCGGAAUUACUGGGCGUAAAGCGUACGUGGGCGGAUUAGUCAGUCAGAGGUGAAAUCCCAGGGCUCAACCCUGGAACUGCCUUUGAUGCUGCUAGUCUUGAGUUCGAGAGAGGUAAGUGGAAUUCCGAGUGUAGAGGUGAAAUUCGUAGAUAUUCGGAGG
rnacentral:rRNA from 1 species